GAUGAACGCUGGCGGCGUGCCUAAUACAUGCAAGUCGAGCGAACAGACGAGGAGCUUGCUCCUCUGAUGUUAGCGGCGGACGGGUGAGUAACACGUGGAUAACCUACCUAUAAGACUGGGAUAACUUCGGGAAACCGUAGCUAAUACCGGAUAAUAUAUUGAACCGCAUGGUUCAAUAGUGAAAGACGGUUUUGCUGUCACUUAUAGAUGGAUCCGCGCCGCAUUAGCUAGUUGGUAAGGUAACGGCUUACCAAGGCAACGAUGCAUAGCCGACCUGAGAGGGUGAUCGGCCACACUGGAACUGAGACACGGUCCAGACUCCUACGGGAGGCAGCAGUAGGGAAUCUUCCGCAAUGGGCGAAAGCCUGACGGAGCAACGCCGCGUGAGUGAUGAAGGUCUUCGGAUCGUAAAACUCUGUUAUUAGGGAAGAACAAAUGUGUAAGUAACUAUGCACGUCUUGACGGUACCUAAUCAGAAAGCCACGGCUAACUACGUG
rnacentral:rRNA from 1 species